UACGUCGGGUGCGAGCGUUGUCCGGAAUUAUUGGGCGUAAAGAGCUUGUAGGCGGUUUGUCGCGUCUGCUGUGAAAAUCCGGGGCUCAACCCCGGACUUGCAGUGGGUACGGGCAGACUAGAGUGUGGUAGGGGAGACUGGAAUUCCUGGUGUAGCGGUGAAAUGCGCAGAUAUCAGGAGGAACACCGAUGGCGAAGGCAGGUCUCUGGGCCACUACUGACGCUGAGAAGCGAAAGCGUGGGGAGCAAACAGG
rnacentral:rRNA from 1 species